GCUCCUAUAGUUAAAUGGUUAUAACGGUUGCCUUAUAAGCGAUUAUUGGACGGUUCAAUUCCGCCUAGGAGUACCA
rnacentral:tRNA from 1 species